CACCCCGCUGCUGCCACAGCCACCGCAGCCGAGGAAGUUGACUGACGCCGCUUCCUUCCCCCCACCUUCAGACCCUCGCGCCCCCUUUAGCUGCAACUCCCCCGGGACUUUGAGGCAGCAAGGAUGCGGAGCUGAUCCCAAGCCUGGCUUUCUUUUCUCCCACCGCCCUGGGGUGAACGUUCAUGGUAGCUCAAGAAAUCACGUGGUGCACCCCAGGAAGGCCCCGAAGACACGCUCUCACAACCCCCGUGUAAGACUCAUACAUCUGCUGUGAUUGCAUUACACAGGUCACUCGGCUAUGCCAAGCAGACCCAUGUAUCCUCCAUCCAGUAAGUCCUGCCCACAGUGGCCGGAGUUGUUCUUCACCCACAAUGCACUCUGUAUUUAUCAUGAUUUUUUAAGAAUCCAUUUAGGAAACAGGACCAUCAGUUAACAAAUCGAACUGGCUUUGCUGCUGAAAAGCUGCCUGCAUUAUCAGGAAGAAGGGGGGCGGGAAGGUCAGAUCCGGGGAAGGUGGUCUGUAUCCGCUUUCCUCUAAGAGGUCCAUCUUUGCUACUGUUCCGAGAUAGCUCAACUGGUUUGUGGACUGUUGAGCUUGGACUCUUUUCCUUUAAACCCACCCAGUUCCAGCGAAGCAUCUAACAGUGUUUUGCCAUUCCCAACAUUUAAAAAUCUGUUAUUUGGUGAAUCUCCAGCAAAACAUGCAGAAGUAAAGCAAACCGUUUACACAGUGGGAUUGUUUCCAUUCCAUAAAUGAAGGUGUUUGGAUUCUGGGCUGUUAGGUGGCAGGUUGAAACAGAUUCAGACCCCGGAAGAGUGCAGCGACCUGUGUAAGUUUCACUGUUUUUCCCACUGGACAGAAGACCCAUAUGCAAAGGCAUGUGUGCAAAAGCUCCAGGGGGGCCCUCCCUGUGCAGGUCUGCUGCCUUCACGUCUGCCUCACCCCAGGGAUAGUCAGGCUGCUCUUGCAUCCUGGAAAGGCAAGGCCUUCCACAUUGGCAAACACUCAUUAUUUUAGCCAGAGAGCUCAGCUGUACAGCAAUGCUAAUAGGAAGGGAACCCCACACCCCAACACAAACAUACUUUCUGCCCAGAUCUAAUGUAGAAUCGAAAUGAAAAGUCCCCAAAUCUGAGGGUCUACCCACAGGCUCAGUUGAACGGAUGUGAGCUGUAGCAAGAUCAAAAAAAAAAAAAAAAGCCUGUGAUGUGCAUCCUUGUUCUUGCAGCACCCUCCACCCUUGGGAGAGCUACUUUAUCUCAAAUGUAAACUCUUAAACUGUGGGCUGCAAUCUUGUGCUAGGGAAUCGAAGGUAGGGCUGCAAAAAUCCUGACCACAAUGAAAGCUUUCUGAAUGUGCAACAGCCAAAAGGUAAUUCAAAAUCAAAUGUGUAAGGAAGCCGGGGUAUCUCUGAUGGCCUUAGCUUCUGGUGUGAGUCACUUCACAGUGGCCUCAGUUCUUUACAUACAACAUGUGCUCCUUGCACGGUUACAUGCCAUCACAACAUGCAGCCCCAACCAGUAUUGCCUGAAGUCCCUCUACUCAAAGAGUCUUACUAAGAAUUGCAGUGUUUUUACUGUUAUGCACAAGGUUUUCUGCUCUUACCAAACACUAUAGCUCCACAACCGAAAACAAAGACUUUCAGAUUUCUCUACUGUCAUUCCUCAGCAUGCUAGUGUCAAAUUAGCAUAUCUGUGGUUUCUAGGUGUGUUAGAGAGCUUAAUUUUAGCAACUGUUUCUUGCAUGGCUGACUUAAAUUUCACUUAAGGUCUGUUAAAUGAACUUCGGUUAAUGCAUAGGACAGAAUUUCCAACAAUUACUAAAAUGUCUUUAAACCUGCUUCUACCAAUUUGUGCUCUGUGUUCAUGGGAAGAACACAUUGAAGAUCAUAAAAUUACCCCAUAGAUCAUCCCUGAAAAAGACUGAAGAUGUUCUGUAUCACUGAGUCUCAGGUAUUGAGCCAGUUUCACUCACACUGUAUAAAGAAACAAACACACCCAUCUCAUUAGGAUACAAAUUUUCUUUUGUCUUUAAUAAAUGGUAAAAUCAUAUGUAUUCUAAAGAA